UACAAAAACUCAAACUCUUGGCUAUAGUUCACGAAUAGUGAAGUGGCGAAAAUGCCCCCAAAAUGAUCUUCUUAGUGAUAUUUUUCCCACUUUGGCACAACAAAAUGGCGAUUUUGCCCAUCGUCUCCACGUGUCGAUCAUCGUUGGGAUUCCUGUUCAACUUCUUUGCUUUUUGUUUUUUCUGAUUUCCAUCUCUCCUCUGCAUCUUUUUCUAUCUCGCACUCCAUUUCUUCCUUCUCCAGCCUUUACAUAUUUUUGGCCUCCGUUACCAACUUCUGUUUGCUAAAUUUUCUCAAUCCUGCGAAUUUAUUUGUGCCCUUUUUGGAUUUGAUUGGAUUCCCUUUUUUACCCACAUAACCUAACAUUUUCUGGUGAGCUUUCCGGCUUUUUCAGUCUAAUCGAUUUAAUUUUUUAUGGUGGUUUGCAUGUGGCUACCUGAUCUAGUUUGAUUUUGGCUUGCAUGAAACAUUGGUCUUCGAAUUUUGGGGUUUUUGUAUGCAAGCUUGCACGCCCUUUGUGAUCAAGACUUCCAGUCCACAGUUGAGAGACAAGGAAGUUUCAAGAGAUCAAAGUUUAGGGUUUUUGUUUCGCCACAAAGUAAGGUGUAUUAAGAAUGGAGAAGGAGUUGAAGGUUGAAGUGGAAGUGAAUGGCUAUGUUUGCCAUAAGAAUUUAUUGAGGUUGCUUGGUUAUUCAGCUAAAGGAGCUCAUAGAUUUAAAAACAACGAUUGGGUAUUUCUCUCUGGUAAUUGUGUGGGUGAGAGAGAAGAGCAUGCAUUCACUUUACUUAGGGUUGUCUGCAAGAGAAACUUACAGAAACCUUUGGUGUAGGCUUGAAAAUUUUGUCUUUGGCUGACUGAUCAAUGCUGACAGGAAAGAGCAGUGCCUGUUUUCUGUGAUGAAUCCUCUCGCCUUGCUUUAUUCGUUGCAAUAUCAUUGAAAGGUCAAUAUUUCUAAUUAUUAUUUUUUUUGUUUUUGCUGCAUGUUGAUGCAUGUUAAGCCUGUUUUCUUCCAACCUUAAAUACAUCCUCUUUUCUAUUUGACGAACUAUUGAUUUACACACACACACACACACACAUACAUAUAUAUAUAUAUAUAUAUAUAUAUAUAUGUUUGUUCUCUGUGAUUUUUUUGUUGUGGUAAGGUAAAUGAUUUACUGAGUUGUAAUUUUUGUUACGGUAAGUGAUUUGAUGCUAGUAUGUUAGUGUUAUAUAAACAGUAAAAUCACAAAAGACGCUAUAUUGUAAACCAUUUUAAUAGUAGAUUGUUACUAGACUUAUCUAAUUGCAAAAGUUUGAGUUUUUUUUUUUCUGAGUUAAGCAUUUAGCUCUUGGAUUGCACAAAAUCAGUAUUUAAAUAAUUUUUUUUCUAUAAGAAUGCGGUGAUGAUAUUUUUUCCCCAACAAAUUUACAUUUGUAUGUGGUUGUGAUGAAUAUGCCUUAUAUGUUGUGUUGUAGAUUAUUUGGGUCGGUAUUGGAAUACAUCUUUUGUAAUCUGAAUCCUUUUACUGAUUUAGCAUUCGCAAAUGGAUCUUCUGUUUAAAGUUACUUUUUUAUGAUUUUGAAUGUUUUCUUUGUACCUUCCAAUCUUGCAUGUAGGUGUAUAAUUUGGUUUUGUCAUUAAGAUGAGCAAUUUCAAAUGCUUCCUUUGGGUUUUCUCAAACAAAUAGCUGAAAUAUCUUAUAUUAGUUAAUGUUAUUACGUUGAUUGUUGUUCAUAUUAUUUGCUUGCAUUUCCUAUUCUUAUGAUUUAUUUAAAAAGAUAAAUUUGCUUUAAUUAGUUUGGUUACUUUACAGGAAAUCUUAUAUGGAUUUUUAAUCAACGAAUUCCAGUUUCUAACACUUAAUUUUCUUCAAUUGUAGGUAUUUGAACGUUAUAUGUCUAAAUUUUGUUCAAUAAUUAGAAAGAACCUUUUGUUCACUAGGUAAAAGCCAUAUUGCUUCUAUAGCAUAAAACUACUCUUACACAAUCAAAGUAUACAGUGUAUACAUAUGCAACAGAUACGUUGGAAAUAAAGUACAACAUAAAAUAUUUGUGUUUUAUUGAUUAAUUGGCUAAGUUCGUGAUGGUCAUUUGAGGCUAUACAAACUAAAUUUGUUGUAGGUAAGCUCAUUUUUAGGUAAGAACCAUGAAUCUCUAAUCGUUUUCAAUUUUUGCUUAUUCCAGCUUCACAUUAUUCUAAAGCCAUAUUUAUGGAAAAAAAAAGGUUUCCAACUGUGACACCCAAGAAAGGUAGGAGCUUCUCUUUCUUUGUUAACUUAUUAAAAAUGGUUUCCUAAGCAUUGUUGUUUUUAAUUUAUUCAUUUGCAGUGUGGAAAAGUUGUUGAUUAUCUCAUUGACCCCACCCUUUACUGCCCGCACAAGUGGUCGACGUUCCGAAUCGCUUUCUGUAAGUAAUGUUUCAAUCUUUGUAAUAUUCUAUUCUUUAAAUUAUUGUUGUGAUGUUCUGAAUCAUCAAAUUAGGUAUAAGAUCAGUGGAUCUGCUGAAUUUGAUAAUAUUCUUCAACAAUGGGGAACUGCCAUGGUGGCAGGGAGCAAACAUAAAAGCAGUGUUAUUCCAGAUUUGAUAAUAUUAUUCAACAAUGUGGUGAGCUUUCUCACAAUAUUGGGUACGAUUGUUAAAACUUUAAAUUCAUUGUACCUAAAUUGAAACAAUUUUUCUAUGACAAUCUUUUUAUAUAUUUCGAAUAUAAUCUUUCAUACAAA